UGGCAGACAAAAGCACACAUGAUACUUCAAAUAAGAGCAACCGGAUCACGUUGCCAAUACAUAUGACCAUGUGUAAUACAGUACUUUACAAGAUCUACAUGUGUAAUGAGCUCUACAAGUGUGAUACAAUACUGCUUUACAAGAAAAUGACGACAUGCCGGACUCGCUGGACAGCCAUAGUCAAGGCUGGGAACCAAAAAAACGGCAACAUGGCUUCCUCUGUCACCCUGUUACAUGAAUGAGAGAAGAAUUAGAAAAACUGAGGCAAAUAUAUUAUGAACAAACCAUUCAAGAAAAUGACAUUUAUUUAGAAUGAUAACACAAAUUGAGCUAGCUAGUACCAUGCUUUUUGUUCUCCAACUAGUUAAGAUGAGAUACCCACUCAUACAAGAAAAUAGAUACACAGUGGAAGAGAUACCAAAACAGAUACACAAGUUGAGAUGUAGCAGGCAGAUUCAUCAAGUAUAUAUCAUGAUGUGUAUUCAUCAUAUAGCUGUUGAGAUCCACCAAUGCUCAAUGCCAAAAACGUAAGAUAAUGGUUAUGGUAAAAUAGUAAACUUGCAACCAGAUUUAAAACAAACAGAACAUCAAAGUGAUGCCAUGACCAAAUGCUAACCAGAAUGCUUUUAAUAAAAUGGAUUGCUUCUAGCUGCUGUAGUAACGACAUGUAGGUUCCAUCAGGCCAUGACCAAGUACUCCAAACCAUUGCAUGCUUUGCAAAAUAAAAUACUAGAUGAAUGUCACUAACAGGAGCACUAGGUGAUUAAUGGAACAAGACAUGGCAGUGUAUGUCUGAAGACAGGUGCUGCUUGCCGAUGUUCUUCGCAUAACUAUAGGCUGACCGUCAAAUUAGCAUUACAGAAAGCGAAAAGGAAAGUGGAAAAGACAUGGCAGCCUAUAGCUAUGCUGAGAACAUAGACAAGCAGCACCUGUCUUCAGAUAUUGUUGGCUUGCAGCCGCAGGUAUCCUUGCUUCAAGUCAGGUCCAGGAACUCUUUGUGUGCACAUCAAGGCAGAAUAGCAGCCUCGGUCGUCCAGCCGCACUUCGCUGCAGGAAAACAAACAAAUGGCUGAACCAUCUUGCUAGAAACAUAGUAAAAAAACUGCUAAAUGGACACUAGCAGCAAAAUAUAUUAGAAUGUUAAAUUUAACAUGCUAGAAAAUUAAAGGAGAGUGCCCCACACACACAGUGUAAGUAAGACUAGCAUAUAGUAGUUUGUCUUCUACAGAAUGCUUCUAAUAUAAGUAAGCAUGAGAGUGUACGUGUUGGAGCUUUGUCAUGCAUGCAAAUAUUUUAUGAGGAGAACUAGAUACAUGUAUGUGAUCAUUAGAAUGCAUACGUGUCUAGUCAUUCUUCCAAGCUAAGUAACGAGGCAUGCAAAUAGAGGUUAUGGUGGCAGCUUUCUAUUGGCUGGACUUCACUAGUCUGCAUGUUGGAUUUAUGAGUAGCUUGGUACAAGAAAUAAUACGUGGAGUACAAUGUAGCCAGAUAUUAGAACAAGGUAGAAAAAGAAAUGGGAAGUCUGCUAGAAAUGCAUCCUGGUACCCAAAUAAGCAUGCUCAUGAAAGCAACUGGUAGAAAUCAACAAGCGCCAGGCAGAAGGGACCUAUUGAAAAAGUUGACCAUGAGUGGAACGGAACCCCUGGGUUGAGCAUAUUCCUGGUGGUAAGCAGGGCAGUGAGGUGGAGCAUCCAAAGCUGCGUGCGAUCAUGGGUGAAGUUGACAACCAGUUUCGCGG
rnacentral:lncRNA from 1 species